rnacentral:rRNA from 1 species
AGUUACUUGACGUAGACCCGAAACCGGGCGACCUACCCAUGAGCAGGAUGAAGCGAAAGUAAAAUUUCGUGGAGGUCCGAACCCACGAGCGUUGAAAAGCCCGGGGAUGACUUGUGGGUAGCGGUGAAAUUCCAAUCGAGCCCGGAGAUAGCUGGUUCUCCCCGAAAUAGCUUUAGGGCUAGCCUCAAGGUGAGAGAUACGGAGGUAGAGCACUGAAUGUCCUAGGGG